AUACGGAGGUUGCAAGCGUUGUCCGGAUUUAUUGGGUUUAAAGGGUGUGUAGGCGGUGUAUUAAGUCAGUGGUGAAAGCCUGCGGCUCAACCGUAGAACUGCCAUUGAUACUGACACACUUGAGUAUGGACGAGGUAGGCGGAAUUUAUGGUGUAGCGGUGAAAUGCAUAGAUACCAUAAAGAACACCGAUAGCGAAGGCAGCUUACUAGGCCAUAACUGACGCUGAGGCACGAAAGCGUGGGGAGCGAACAGGAUUAGAAACCCCAGUAGUCC
rnacentral:rRNA from 1 species